rnacentral:rRNA from 1 species
GUCCACGCUGUAAACGAUGGGCACUAGGUGUCGCGGGUAUUGACCCCUGCGGUGCCGCAGCUAACGCAUUAAGUGCCCCGCCUGGGGACUACGGCCGCAAGGUUAAACUCAAAGGAAUUGACGGGGCCCGCACAAGCGGUGGAGCAUGUGGUUCAAUUCGACGCAACGCGAAGAACCUUACCCGGGCUAGACAACAGAGGAUCGCCUUAGAAAUAAGGUUUUCCCUUCGGGGACCUCUGGUUCAGGUGCUGCAUGGCUGUCGU